GACUAUUGGAGUUGGAAACAUAAUAUUCCUGACUGUUGGAAACAUAAUAUUACUGACUGUUGGAAACAUAAUAUUACUGACUGUUGGAAACAUAAUAUUACUGACUGUUGGAAACAUAAUAUUACUGACUGUUGGAGUUGGAAACAUAAUAUUACUGACUGUUGGAAACAUAAUAUUACUGACUGUUGGAGUUGGAAACAUAAUAUUACUGACUGUUGGAGUUGGAAACAUAAUAUUACUGACUGUUGGAAACAUAAUAUUACUGACUGUUGGAAACAUAAUAUUACUGACUGUUGUAAACAUAAUAUUACUGACUGUUGGAGUUAGAAUCAUAAUAUUACCGACUGUUGGAGUUAGAAACAUAAUAUUACCGACUGUUGGAGUUAGAAACAUAAUAUUACUGACUGUUGGAAACAUAAUAUUACUGACUGUUAGAAACAUAAUAUUCCUGACUGUUGGAAACAUAAUAUUACUGACUGUUGGAGUUGGAAACAUAAUAUUCCUGACUGUUGCAGUUAGAAUCAUAAUUACUGACUGUUGGAGCUAGAAACAUAAUAUUAUUGACUGUUGGAAACAUAAUAUUACUGACUGUUGGAAACAUAAUAUUACUGACUGUUGGAAACAUAAUAUUACUGACUGUUGGAGUUGUAAACAUAAUAUUACUGACUGUUGGAAACAUAAUAUUACUGACUGUUGGAGUUAGAAUCAUAAUAUUACUGACUGUUACAGAUGAAGAACCACAUAUGUUACAUUUAACUACUUUUAAUAUAAACAUCAUACACCAUUAUUUGAUAUCCUGUCUAUAAAAUGAAGUGGUCAUGCAAACUCUUUACGCACCCAUUAGCCGGUAUUUCACAUUUAAAAUAGACUCACCCAGUGCUUAAUUUGUAAAUCGGGAGGUGCCGGAACUCAUGAGAAAAUAAAUCACCUUUAUGAUAAAGCAUUGCGGGCAUAUCAUCACAUUUUCGUAGUGCCAUAGAGCAGUAGAGUUGAGGCACUUAUAGAGGUUGCACACAUGGGGAACAUUUUUAGCAGCCUAGGGUCCGGGAAAAAUGUGGCCUUUUAUAAACGCAUUUCAUGCAAUUCCACUUCAUUUUACAUGACUGGAGACUUUGGCAGAAUCUUUUUUAAAACCACACAAAUUAUCGAAAUGGCAGGAUACUUUGACACUGACAAACUGAGAAUCUAAGUUCAAUAAAAACGACCUUGUCUUGAAUCCAUCAAUAGUCUAUCCCAAGCGGUGUGGAGACACAUGUUGUAGGCUACAAUACGAGGAGGAAAUUAUAGUCAUAAACAUGCUUUCCAGUUUCACUGACACACCCAAUGAUGAGCAGCUCAGUCACUGGUGAUAUUUUGGUAGCCUACAGCAUAGAGUAUUUUCUUUUCAGCAGGAACCAUUUGCUUUCCAACCUGUGUUUUCCCUCGAUUGUAUUUGAAAUAUUGCAUACCCAGAAAAACCUAUAUGUCCGAAGCAAAAAAUGGAGCGGCCAGUGGUUUGUCUGAGCGCAGCGGGCAAAACCCGUCAAAUAUUAUAAAAAAUGGAAGAAUAAACAUAAAUUAAUGGAAGACUUGAGGGAUGCAGGGAAACCUUACAUCGUUCUCAAGGGAGAACAAAAACAAGGGAAAAGAGCAUGGGAAGAGAUACCUGUGUGCCAAACUUCUAGAGGAGCGCAAGCUACAGCUUGUCAUAUGACGACAAGCCUGGAUUCUUUCUGGAUUGGAACAGUCCACAGUCCGGAACCUCCAGAGACGGUCCACAGUCCGGAACCUCCAGAGACGGCUUACAGUCCAGAACCUCCUGAGACGGCUUACAGUCCGGAACCUCCUGAGACGGUCCACAGUCCGGAACCUCCUGAGACGGUCCACAGUCCGGAACCUCCUGAGACGGUCCAUGGCCCGAAGCCUCCAGCGAUGAUCCAUGGCCCGGAGCCUCCAGCGAUGAUCCAUGGCCCGGAGCCUCCAGUGAAGAGCCAAGGCCCAGAGCCAAGGCCCAGAGCCUUCAGCGACGGUCUGCAGUCCAGAGCCUCCAGCGACGGUCUGCAGUCCAGAGUCUUCAGCAACGGUCUGCAAUCCAGAGUCUUCAGCGACGGUCGGCAGUCCAGAGCCUUCAGCGACGGUCGGCAGUCCAGCGCCUCCAACGACGGCCGGCAGUCCAGAGCCUCCAGCGACGGUCGGCAGUCUAGAGCCUCCAGCGACGGUCUGCAGUCCAGAGCCUCCAGCGACGGUCUGCAGUCCAGGGCCUCCAGCGACGGUCUGAGGUCCAGAGCCUCCAGCGACGGUCUGCAGUCCAGAGCCUCCAACGACGGCCGGCAGUCCAGAGCCUCCAGCGACGGUCGGCAGUCUAGAGCCUCCAGCGACGGUCUGCAGUCCAGAGCCUCCAGCGACGGUCUGCAGUCCAGGGCCUCCAGCGACGGUCUGAGGUCCAGAGCCUCCAGCGACGGUCUGCAGUUCAGAGCCUUCGGCAACGGUCGGCAGUCCAGAGCCUCCGGCGACGAUCUAUGGUCCGGUUCCUCCGGCAACGAUCUACGGUCCGGAGCCUCCGGCGACGAUCCACGGUCCGGUUUCACGGAAGUGGGGGGAGCCUCAAGCGGAGCGGGGUCUGCGUCCCGCACCGGAGCCUCCACCGAGAGGAGUUGCCCACCUGGGUGAUGCCCACUUGGGUGGGCAUAUCUAUGUGUCUAUUUCUUUGUUGGCCUAGUAUGGUUCCCAAUCAGAGGCAGCUGUUUAUCAUUGUCUCUGAUUGGGGAUCAUACUGAGUCAGCCCUUUUUCCCACCUGUGAUUGUGGGAUCUUGUUUUUGUGUAGCUGCCUGUGAGCAGCCCAGAACGUAACGCUUCAUUUUCUUCUGUAUUGUUUUUGGUGAGUUUCAUAUUUAUUAAACAUGUGGAACUCUAAGUACGCUGCGCCUUGGUCCAAUCUUUACGACGAGCGUGACAUGGUGCUUAAAGUCAGUGAUGGAGAUAUGAGACUCCAGCUUCAGUGAUUUUUGCAGUUCGUUCCAGUCAUUGGCAGCAGAGAACUGGAAGAAAAGGCGGCCAAAGGAGGAAUUGGCUUUGGGGGUGACCAGUGAGAUAUACCUGCUGGAGCAUGUGCUACAGGUGGGUGCUGCUAUGGUGACCAGUGAGCUGAGAUAAGGCGGGCCUUUACCUAUCAAAGACUUAUAGAUGACCUGGAGCCAGUGGCUUUGGCGAGGAAUAUGAGCGAGGGCCAGCCAACGAGAGCGUACAGGUCACAGUGGUGGGUAGUAUAUGGGGCUUUGGUGACAAUACUACUUAAGUAGGUUUUUGUGGUAUCUGUACUUUACUUUACUAUUUAUAUUGUUGACAACUUUUAAUUUUACUUCACUACAUUCCUAAAGAAAAUAAUGUACUUUUAACUCCAUACAUUUUCC
rnacentral:lncRNA from 1 species